CGCGUUGAAACACCGGUUCUCGUUCGAACACCAAAGUUAAGCAACGUUGACUCUGGUCAGUACCUAGAGGGGUGAUCGCUUGGGAAUACCAGGUGCU